GACGAACGCUGGCGGCGUGCUUAACACAUGCAAGUCGAACGGAAAGGCCCUGCUUGCAGGGUACUCGAGUGGCGAACGGGUGAGUAACACGUGGGUGAUCUGCCCUGCACUUCGGGAUAAGCCUGGUAAACUGGGUCUAAUACCGGACAGGAGCCAUUUUUAGUGUGAUGGUUGGAAAGUUUUUUCGGUGUAGGAUGAGCUCGCGGCCUAUCAGCUUGUUGGUGGGGUAAUGGCCUACCAAGGCGGCGACGGGUAGCCGGCCUGGGAGGGUGGACGGCCACAUUGGGACUGGGAUACGGCCCAGACUCCUACGGGAGGCAGCAGUGGGGAAUAUUGCACAAUGGGCGCAAGCCUGAUGCAGCGACGCCGCGUGGGGGAUGACGGCCUUCGGGUUGUAAACUCCUUUCGCUAGGGACGAAGCUUUUUGUGACGGUACCUAGAUAAGAAGCACCGGCUAACUACGUG
rnacentral:rRNA from 1 species